rnacentral:rRNA from 1 species
UUAAAAAGCCUAACUACUCUACAGGAACCAGAAUCCUUCUGGUCUUAGAAGCUAAGGACAGUCAAGCCUGAUUAGUGCUUGAAUGGGAAGCCACCCAUGAAUACUAGGUGCUGUAGACU